AACGCGAAAGCCUCCUUCGGGGGGCAAGUAGAGUGGCGCACGGGUGAGUAACACGUAGGUAAUCUACCUUUGGAUUGGGAAUAACCACCGGAAACGGUGGCUAAUACCGAAUAAUGCAGCGGCACCUAAUGGUGACAGUUGUUAAAGCGGGGGAUCGCAAGACCUCGCGUCUAAAGAGGAGCCUGCGGCGGAUUAGCUAGUUGGUAAGGUAACGGCUUACCAAGGCGAUGAUCCGUAGCCGGCCUGAGAGGGCGGUCGGCCACACUGACACUGACAUACGGGUCAGACUCCUACGGGAGGCAGCAGUCGGGAAUUUUGGGCAAUGGGCGAAAGCCUGACCCAGCAACGCCGCGUGAAGGAUGAAAUCCUUCGGGAUGUAAACUUCGCAAGAACGGGAAGAAUAAGUAAGAGUUAAUAUCUCUUACGAUGACGGUACUGUUUGUAAGCUCCGGCUAACUCCGUGCCAGCAGCCGCGGUAAUACGGGGGGAGCAAGCGUUGUUCGGAUUUACUGGGCGUAAAGGGCGCGUAGGCGGCCACCGCAAGUCGACUGUGAAAUCUCCGGGCUUAACCCGGAAAGGUCAGCCGAUACUGCGGGGCUAGAGUGCAGAAGGGGCAACUGGGAUUCUCGGUGUAGCGGUGAAAUGCGUAGAUAUCGAGAGGAACACCUGCGGCGAAGGCGGGUUGCUGGGCUGACACUGACGCUGAGGCGCGAAAGCUAGGGGAGCGAACGGGAUUAGAUACCCCGGUAGUCCUAGCCUUAAACGAUGAAUGCUUGGUGUCUGGGG
rnacentral:rRNA from 1 species